rnacentral:rRNA from 1 species
ACUUAAAUUGAAGAGUUUGAUCAUGGCUCAGAUUGAACGCUGGCGGCAGGCCUAACACAUGCAAGUCGAGCGGUAGCACAGAGAGCUUGCUCUCGGGUGACGAGCGGCGGACGGGUGAGUAAUGUCUGGGAAACUGCCUGAUGGAGGGGGAUAACUACUGGAAACGGUAGCUAAUACCGCAUAACGUCGCAAGACCAAAGUGGGGGACCUUCGGGCCUCAUGCCAUCAGAUGUGCCCAGAUGGGAUUAGCUAGUAGGUGGGGUAACGGCUCACCUAGGCGACGAUCCCUAGCUGGUCUGAGAGGAUGACCAGCCACACUGGAACUGAGACACGGUCCAGACUCCUACGGGAGGCAGCAGUGGGGAAUAUUGCACAAUGGGCGCAAGCCUGAUGCAGCCAUGCCGCGUGUGUGAAGAAGGCCUUCGGGUUGUAAAGCACUUUCAGCGGGGAGGAAGGCGUUAAGGUUAAUAACCUUAUCGAUUGACGUUACCCGCAGAAGAAGCACCGGCUAACUCCGUGCCAGCAGCCGCGGUAAUACGGAGGGUGCAAGCGUUAAUCGGAAUUACUGGGCGUAAAGCGCACGCAGGCGGUCUGUCAAGUCGGAUGUGAAAUCCCCGGGCUCAACCUGGGAACUGCAUUCGAAACUGGCAGGCUAGAGUCUUGUAGAGGGGGGUAGAAUUCCAGGUGUAGCGGUGAAAUGCGUAGAGAUCUGGAGGAAUACCGGUGGCGAAGGCGGCCCCCUGGACAAAGACUGACGCUCAGGUGCGAAAGCGUGGGGAGCAAACAGGAUUAGAUACCCUGGUAGUCCACGCCGUAAACGAUGUCGAUUUGGAGGUUGUGCCCUUGAGGCGUGGCUUCCGGAGCUAACGCGUUAAAUCGACCGCCUGGGGAGUACGGCCGCAAGGUUAAAACUCAAAUGAAUUGACGGGGGCCCGCACAAGCGGUGGAGCAUGUGGUUUAAUUCGAUGCAACGCGAAGAACCUUACCUGGUCUUGACAUCCACAGAACUUAGCAGAGAUGCAUUGGUGCCUUCGGGAACUGUGAGACAGGUGCUGCAUGGCUGUCGUCAGCUCGUGUUGUGAAAUGUUGGGUUAAGUCCCGCAACGAGCGCAACCCUUAUCCUUUGUUGCCAGCGGUCCGGCCGGGAACUCAAAGGAGACUGCCAGUGAUAAACUGGAGGAAGGUGGGGAUGACGUCAAGUCAUCAUGGCCCUUACGACCAGGGCUACACACGUGCUACAAUGGCAUAUACAAAGAGAAGCGACCUCGCGAGAGCAAGCGGACCUCAUAAAGUAUGUCGUAGUCCGGAUUGGAGUCUGCAACUCGACUCCAUGAAGUCGGAAUCGCUAGUAAUCGUAGAUCAGAAUGCUACGGUGAAUACGUUCCCGGGCCUUGUACACACCGCCCGUCACACCAUGGGAGUGGGUUGCAAAAGAAGUAGGUAGCUUAACCUUCGGGAGGGCGCUUACCACUUUGUGAUUCAUGACUGGGGUGAAGUCGUAACAAGGUAACCGUAGGGGAACCUGCGGUUGGAUCACCUCCUUACCUUAAAGAA